AGCGAACGCUGGCGGCAGGCUUAACACAUGCAAGUCGAACGGUCCUUCGGGAUAGUGGCGGACGGGUGAGUAACACGUGGGAACGUACCCUUAGGUUCGGAACAACACAGGGAAACUUGUGCUAAUACCGGAUAAGCCCUUCGGGGGAAAGAUUUAUCGCCUUUAGAGCGGCCCGCGUCUGAUUAGCUAGUUGGUGAGGUAAAGGCUCACCAAGGCUACGAUCAGUAGCUGGUCUGAGAGGAUGACCAGCCACAUUGGGACUGAGACACGGCCCAAACUCCUACGGGAGGCAGCAGUGGGGAAUCUUGCGCAAUGGGCGAAAGCCUGACGCAGCCAUGCCGCGUGGAUGAUGAAGGUCUUAGGAUUGUAAAAUCCUUUCACCGGUGAAGAUAAUGACUGUAGCCGGAGAAGAAGCCCCGGCUAACUUCGUGCCAGCAGCCGCCGUAA
rnacentral:rRNA from 1 species